rnacentral:ncRNA from 1 species
AAAGAGGUUCGAUGUUUUUCUCGUAUAAGUGCGGGGAUUGGCCUGCAUGUUUCUACCUGAUCACCGGAAAUGAUCGGACUACGGGAGGAGCUCUAUUUUUC